GUGAAUCAUCGAAUUUUUGAACGCAAAUUGCGCUUCCUUUCAUCCCGGGAAGUAUGCCUGUGUGAGGGUUAGUAUUAAUAAAAAAUCGGUUUAGUUUCAAAUUGUGACGUUUCCGGAGUUUGGGCUAUCUUAACAUUUUUGGUUAAGAGGUUUAAAAUUGACCUUUUUUGUGAAUUUUUAAAAGUACAUAUAUAUUUUUUAUUCGUCUAUUCUUACUGCACAAAUUUUAUUAGUUGCGAUCUCAUCGUGUGGCUACGUGUCU
rnacentral:misc_RNA from 1 species